AUUGAACGCUGGCGGCAGGCCUAACACAUGCAAGUCGAACGGUAACAGGAAGAAGCUUGCUUCUUUGCUGACGAGUGGCGGACGAGUGAGUAAUGUCUGGGAAACUGCCUUGGAUGGAGGGGGAUAACUACUGGAAACGGUAGCUAAUACCGCAUAACGUCGNCAAGACCAAAGAGGGGGACCUUCGGGCCUCUUGCCAUCGGAUGUGCCCAGAUGGGAUUAGCUUGUUGGUGGGGUAACGGCUCACCAAGGCGACGAUCCCUAGCUGGUCUGAGAGGAUGACCAGCCACACUGGAACUGAGACACGGUCCAGACUCCUACGGGAGGCAGCAGUGGGGAAUAUUGCACAAUGGGCGCAAGCCUGAUGCAGCCAUGCCGCGUGUAUGAAGAAGGCCUUCGGGUUGUAAAGUACUUUCAGCGGGGAGGA
rnacentral:rRNA from 1 species